UUUGGGAUUAUUGUAACGCCGGAAGGCGGUGAGUUUUGCCGUUUGCAAAUCUUUUAAAACUUGCGUAGGAAACAGUGGGGCUUUUGAAGUCGAAGGAUUUUUGUUUUUUUUUAAGGGCGAUAUGGAGAGGGCAGAUGAUUGGUGUUGCGGAGAUCAUCGUGCUUUCCUGGAGCGACCCACGUUUGGGAAAAGAUGCCCUGUGCUUUCUAAGCUGCUCACCAACUUCGCUGACCUGCUGAGAAGACCAAAAGCUACAGAAGAAUGACUGACAAGGGAAACAGAGAGAGACCUAUCUGUGCAGGGUCUGAGAACCUGCCGCGCCAAGUGAGAAAUGGAGGCCAUGGCAAACAGCUUACUCUCCUCCCCUCUCUUUUUCAGAAGCUUGCUGUUUCAGAAAGGAUUUGAAAGGUGUAAGCUUCCCAUUAGGGAGGCUGUGACAUGGUAAUGGAAAACUCUCCUCCUCAAUCCAUUCUCCCACCUCCCUUCCCCUCCUUUUACAAGCUUUGCUUAAAACCUCCAGUUCCCUAGGAAUUUUAUGAAUGCCUGAGAGCAGCCAAAAUAAACUCGUAAAGAAAAAGUUUCGAAAAAAAGGUCACAGACCCGUACAGCAAGUGCUAACUGGGAACUAUUUGAAUGCAGGAGGGCAGCAAACGACUUGGAGAAAAGAAAGGCAGGGCUGCAAUGCAAGCUGGCAACCCGUUGACUCUGUUGCGAAAAGUCCAUGAAUUUGCAUUUACAAAAGUGAUUCCCGCCUUCCGUCCCCUCAAAGACAUGCCCCACCCUGCCCUGCAACACUGGUAAGGAAGCUUUACCACUGACUUGAACCAAAGCCAUGUUUGUUUUUGAGCUUCUCUGGAGCAGUAAGUAGGCCAAAGAUUACAGACCGAGAAGUGAAACUCAGUUGAAGCUAAGAAUCUGACAUGGCCCAUAUAAAACCAGUCAGGAGGACAAGGUUUCUUUAAAUUUGCCAGCCACUGUUUGAAGAUAUGUCGAUAGUUUUCACUACCUUUUAAAAAGUUUUUAUGCUUGUAUUUUAUAGUUUUUAAAUUAGAUUUGUUUUAUAUUUUUAGCUUAAUAUUUUAAUUGUCAUUUUAAUUGUAUGUUUUUAACUUUUGUAAACCGCCUUGGGGUUGUUUUUAAUGAAAGGCGGUAUAGAACUUCAACAAUAAAUAAAUAAAUAAAUA